ACAGCGCCCGCCGCAGCAUCUCUGCACACCGCCCGCCGCCGCCAUCUUGAACUGCAGGGUCCUGUGCAGGGGGGCUUCUGCACAGGGUCCCCGAGCUGAGGUGUCAGCGCAGCCGUUUCCCGGUGGGAGCUCUGGUCUGAAGGGCCGGGGCCAGGGCCUCUGCCCGCGGCACCGUAUGAGCAAGCGAACCUAGCCUAAGCACAAAGGACAAGGAAAAAAAAGGCACUCAGGUGAAGGAAAGAUUUAUGUGGGCCAGCAGAUGGUGAAAAGAAGACCUCCCUGAAGAGGUGAGGACCGAAUUGAGCCUAAAAGGGAUAAUUGACUGUUAAAGCUCUAGAGAACUUAGAAGGAAAAUUCACCUGUGGAACCUCCUUCCCUAUUUUAAAGAUGAAGACACUGAGGCCCAGAGAUAUCUGUGU